GUUAGGAAUAUUGCGCAAUGGGCGAAAGCUUGACGCAGCAACGCCGCGUGGGCGACGAAGGUCUUCGGAUCGUAAAGCCCUUUUCUAGAGGACGAGGAAGGACAGUACUCUAGGAAUAAGUCUCGGCUAACUACGUGCCAGCAGCCGCGGUAAAACGUAGGAGGCGAGCGUUAUCCGGAUUCAUUGGGCGUAAAGCGUGUGCAGGCGGUGUUCUAAGUUGGACGUAAAAUCUCUCGGCCUAACUGGGAGGCGCCGUUCAAUACUGGAGCACUUGAGGUCAGAAGAGGGAAGUGGAAUUCCCGGUGUAGCGGUGGAAUGCGUAGAUAUCGGGAGGAACACCCGUGGCGAAAGCGGCUUCCUGGUCUGCACCUAACGCUGAGACACGAAAGCUAGGGGAGCAAACGGGAUUAGAAACCCUGGUAGUCC
rnacentral:rRNA from 1 species